rnacentral:pre_miRNA from 1 species
AGCGUACUAUCGAAUAAAUCCAUCCUUUGGUUUAUGAUGCAUGUUUCGGUACUAAUUUUUCCACAUAUUUUCAAAAUAAGUACCGCAAGAUGCAUCAUAAACCAAAGGAUGGAUUUAUUCGAUAGUACGCU